rnacentral:rRNA from 1 species
CGAAGGGGGCAAGCGUUGUUCGGAAUUACUGGGCGUAAAGGGCGCGUAGGCGGCUUAUCAAGUCAGGCGUGAAAUUCCCGGGCUCAACCUGGGGGCUGCACUUGAUACUGAUGAGCUUAAAUGCGGGAGAGGGAGUAGUGGAAUUCCCAGUGUAGAGGUGAAAUUCGUAGAUAUUGGGAAGAACACCGGUGGCGAAGGCGGCUAUCUGGCCCCGUAAUUGACGCUGAGGCGCGAAAGCGUGGGGAGCAAACAGGAUUAGAUACCCUGGUAGUCCUCGCCGUAAACGAUGAAUGCUAGACGUUGGCGAGCAUGCUCGUCAGUGUCGGAGCUAACGCAUUAAGCAUUCCGCCUGGGGAGUACGGUCGCAAGAUUA